AUUUGGUUUCGGAUUUUUAAAUUCAAUAUCUAUUUGUAUUUUUGUAUUUUGUGUUUUAUUAGCAAUAUUUUGUGUCAUACCAAAUUGUUAGCGCUAAAAUUUUGUGUUCAAAUCGUAAGAUGUUCAGAAGAAGUACAGACAAUUUUGAUGGGUUUUUUGAACCGACGACGGAGUAUCAGCACGAAUGGGCAAUGCCGAACGCAGUGAAUAAAAGCAAAGCCAACCUCUUGAUGAAAAUGGAAAAGGAAAAUGAGAAUAAGGAUUUGCGUCGAAAGUUGAAAAAUUUGAAUAAAGUAACCUUUCGUUCGCUCUCAGAGCGUUCACCAGGCGUCGUACUCAACAAGGAAACCGUCUGGGAUCGUUUGAGCCGAGUCAAGAAGAGCGCGAGUAAUGAUGGCGGUUUCUUGACACUCACAAAGAGCCGUACACUCAUGCCGGCGGCGAAGAGCACACUACGACUGCAAGCACGUGCGGCAGGUCAGCGUGUUAAUAAGAAACCCUUAACACCGAAUACAAAUCUGAAUAAACGUGUUGGUGAGAAGAAAACUGUGAGAAGACUUAAAAGUAAAGCGCCUUAUUUGCAAGAUCUCGAUGUGGAUGAUAAUAAAUUGAAUUGCACGCGUGUCAAGUCCAUAAGGGAGCUACUGACUGCGCGCAGUAUUUGCAAUUCGAAGACAUCUUCAGAGGAUUGUACUUUGAAAAUAGCUACGGCCAGAUCUGAUAAUAUAAAUGCGCUACUGCAGAACAAUCAGCUGCUCGCCGACUAUGAUGAAUAUGAGGACUCUGAGGUGGAAAAGCACAUAGGCUCGCAAGAUUCGUUAGAGGAAUUUGUUGUGGCGCCACUAAUGCCAGUACCUACAAAUGAGUCGUUGAACAUGAGCGCGACCAUAGCAUCGAAUUUCCGUUGUCUAUUGGAUUCAAGACAAAAGAAUAUGGAACCGGACGAAAUAGCAACGAUAAAGAAUGUGGUGAAGACCGAUCAGCGUCAUAGACAGCUGCAAAGGAAUGACUCGGUACUCUUUAAGGAAAUUUUAAAAACCCAACUGAAGGAGAUAAUACGCCAAGAGACGGUGGUAAAGUCAGCGCUACAUAAUCUAAAUGAAUUUCCCUCAACCAUAGCCAUACAUAAGCCGCAAACGCCGGAUACCGAACCAAAGAAGCCGCAAGUUGAUGUGAUCUUCAAGAAUGUGCCCACUUUGGAAAAGGAAAUUAUCAUCUUGAAAGCUUUGGGUGAGAAACUCGAAGCGACUUUGAAGCGUACUAUCUCACAAGGCGACAUGAAGUUGGCCGAAAUGCACAAACUCGCCACGCCCACUGAAUCAAAGUGGCAUAGCGCUUAUGUGGAUAACUUUCAAUAUGCCUACAUCGAGUCCCUAUCGUUGGGUGUACGCCGUUGCAUCGGUAUUGUGCAGGAGUUUCGUAUGGAGCAUAAAACCAUUGUUGAAUUGAAGGAGCAAGCCAGCCAUCACUUCUAUUUACCCUCGAACAAAGAUAGCACCGAGUUGAAGCGCACAUCUUUCAAGCGUCUCAAAGAGAAUCCCGAUUUGUUGAUGCGUUAUCUCAAACCGAAGAGCACACUUGUGCCGUUCAAUGUUCUAGAACAAGAUCCGUGUUUCUUCAAUAGUUUCCUAUACAACCCCUGUGUUAUAGGAAGUUUUGAAAGUGCUGUGACGCUAACCAAAGCGGAAAUAUCUACUACCGAGGUGCGCUCGAAGACGCCUUUGCAGUGUGCCUGCGAUAGCGAUCGGAGUGCACGUGUACCAUACAAGUAUGAGACAGAACCCUUACAGAUUGAGGAAAUCCAAUGCACGUUGAAUGAUGCACUCUAUACGGCGCCACCUGCUGCAACUGAGCAACAGCAGCAAGUUGAGAACAAUUCACCGCUGGUGGUGGUGGUGGAAAGUAAGAGUUCUACUCGUGUGCGUGCAGCACCAGUGCGUGGGGGGAAACGUCGUCGUAUACGUCAAUACCAUACACCGUUGCCAACGGAGAGCAAUCCCGACCCGAAGAAUAAUCUUUUCAAAACCAUACUUGUGGGUAGCGUACAAAUAUCUGUGUUCCUCAUACUCAUCAUGGCCAUUACAUAUCCUGAUGCGAGAUGUUGAGGUCGAUUUGGUAUGCGUUUUUACUCUCAUUUCCUCUCAGUGCUUGUGUAAUGCUAUUGCUAUUUUACGUAUUCACUCGUAAAAACAUUAUAAAUCUUACAACAAUUUUGGCUGACUCACAUACGAAUUGGUAGUUCAAAAUUUGAAUUACGUAUAUGGGAAAUUACAGAAGUGGAAGUAACAAUUCUUUGUAAGAGCAGCAUUUUGAUUUCUGUAAAUUCUUUUAUACCACAUUUAUUUAUUUUUUCCAAACAUUUAUUUGAAAAAUUUGAAUUUUCGAAAUUUAUGCAGUAAAU
rnacentral:misc_RNA from 1 species